rnacentral:rRNA from 1 species
AACGAACGCUGGCGGCAGGCCUAACACAUGCAAGUCGAGCGCCCCGCAAGGGGAGCGGCGGACGGGUGAGUAACGCGUGGGAACGUGCCCCUUGCUCCGGAAUAGCCCCGGGAAACUGGGAGUAAUACCGUAUAAGCCCUACGGGGGAAAGAUUUAUCGGCAAAGGAUCGGCCCGCGUUGGAUUAGGUAGUUGGUGGGGUAAUGGCCUACCAAGCCGACGAUCCAUAGCUGGUUUGAGAGGAUGAUCAGCCACACUGGGACUGAGACACGGCCCAGACUCCUACGGGAGGCAGCAGUGGGGAAUCUUAGACAAUGGGCGCAAGCCUGAUCUAGCCAUGCCGCGUGAGCGAUGAAGGCCUUAGGGUUGUAAAGCUCUUUCGUGGGGGAAGAUAAUGACUGUACCCCAAGAAGAAGCCCCGGCUAACUCCGUGCCAGCCGCCGCGGUAACAC